AUUGAACGCUAGCGGGAUGCUUUACACAUGCAAGUCGAACGGCAGCGCGGACUUCGGUCUGGCGGCGAGUGGCGAACGGGUGAGUAAUGUAUCGGAACGUGCCCAGUAGCGGGGGAUAACUACGCGAAAGCGUAGCUAAUACCGCAUACGCCCUACGGGGGAAAGCAGGGGAUCGUAAGACCUUGCACUAUUUGAUCGGCCGAUAUCGGAUUAGCUAGUUGGUGAGGUAACGGCUCACCAAGGCGACGAUCCGUAGCUGGUUUGAGAGGACGACCAGCCACACUGGGACUGAGACACGGCCCAGACUCCUACGGGAGGCAGCAGUGGGGAAUUUUGGACAAUGGGGGCAACCCUGAUCCAGCCAUCCCGCGUGUGCGAUGAAGGCCUUCGGGUUGUAAAGCACUUUUGGCAGGAAAGAAACGUCGCGGGCUAAUACCCCGUGGAACUGACGGUACCUGCAGAAUAAGCACCGGCUAACUACGUG
rnacentral:rRNA from 1 species